rnacentral:rRNA from 1 species
UGAACGCUAGCUACAGGCUUAACACAUGCAAGUCGAGGGGCAGCGAGAGGAAAGCUUGCUUCCUGUCGGCGACCGGCGCACGGGUGAGUAACGCGUAUCCAACCUUCCCCAUAGUAGAGGAUAGCCCGGCGAAAGUCGGAUUAAUACUCUAUGUUGUAUAAUGAGGACAUCUGAAUUAUACCAAAGACUCAUCGCUAUGGGAUGGGGAUGCGUCUGAUUAGCUUGUCGGCGGGGUAACGGCCCACCGAGGCAACGAUCAGUAGGGGUUCUGAGAGGAAGGUCCCCCACAUUGGUACUGAGACACGGACCAAACUCCUACGGGAGGCAGCAGUGAGGAAUAUUGGUCAAUGGGCGCGAGCCUGAACCAGCCAAGUAGCGUGCAAGGAUGACUGCCCUAUGGGUUGUAAACUGCUUUUAUGCGGGAAUAAAGUCAGGUACGUGUACCUGUUUGUAUGUACCGCAUGAAUAAGGACCGGCUAAUUCCGUGCCAGCAGCCGC